rnacentral:rRNA from 1 species
CCUACGGGUGGCAGCAGUGGGGAAUAUUGCACAAUGGGCGCAAGCCUGAUGCAGCAACGCCGCGUGAGGGACGACGGCCUUCGGGUUGUAAACCUCUUUUAGCAGGGAAGAAGCGAAAGUGACGGUACCUGCAGAAAAAGCACCGGCUAACUACGUGCCAGCAGCCGCGGUAAUACGUAGGGUGCAAGCGUUGUCCGGAAUUAUUGGGCGUAAAGAGCUCGUAGGCGGUUUGUCGCGUCUGCUGUGAAAACCCGAGGCUCAACCUCGGGCCUGCAGUGGGUACGGGCAGACUAGAGUGCGGUAGGGGAGAUUGGAACUCCUGGUGUAGCGGUGGAAUGCGCAGAUAUCAGGAAGAACACCGAUGGCGAAGGCAGAUCUCUGGGCCGUUACUGACGCUGAGGAGCGAAAGCGUGGGGAGCGAACAGGAUUAGAUACCCCUGUAGUC